UUUUAUAAGAAAGAAAACACCCUUAAUGAAUUGAUGACUAUAUAUAAAAUUAUAUCCACUACUUUUGAACACAUUCUGCUGAAUUAUUUAUAUAAGCCAAAGCUGUAUGUUGUAACUUUUUUUUAAAGAAUAGCUUUAUCUUGUUUUAACUUUUUAGUUUUAUUUUAAGAGGGGAGAAAAAACAAAAAUAUCUUGCAAGCAGAACCUUGGAAAAAAAAAGCCAUGAACACUUAUUAUUCUAUAUGUAAAUUAAAAGUUGAGCCAAACUCUUUGUGUAUAUAGCAUCUUAAAUAUAUUAUCACCUUUGAUGUAAGUACCUAUGUAUUGUAUGGUCACCAGAUUAAAAAGUAUAUUUUUGUGGAUUGCCGCCAAUUUGGGGGGAAAGGCGAAGUCCUUAAGUAGAGUAUUCACUGUUUAAUAUUUACUAUUUUGUUAAUAUACUGUACUUUGGAUUUUAAUUAUCAGCCCAGCUUUUCAGAGGCCUGUGUAAAGGGUUCCCCUCACUGGUGGUGAAUGUGUGAUGUUCUGUUGUGAGCUUUGUGCUGUAUGGGGUGAGCAUCAUUAUAUAUUUUAUAUGUGUACAUAAAUAGCAAAGUGGCAAGAAAUUGGUGUUAAGUCCAUCCUGCAUAAAUAUAAAAUGUGUUGUAACAGAUUUUAUAAGGCGUUAUUUAAAACCUGCCUUUUGUGGGGGAAAAAUGGUAGAAAGAUGACCUAAUUUAACUAAUAUUAGAGAAAAUGGCAGAAUAGUAGAUGAGCACAAAGGUUUUAUAAGUGGUAAAUAAUUAGAAAAAUAUCUGUAGGGAAAGGGAUCUUUUUCUCCUUGACUCUAAAGAUAGAAUGACGCAGCUGGUUACAAAAUCCAGGAGGGCUUUAGCGUCCGUGCGUGCGCAGGAAGGCACGGGCGUGCAGGGAACAGCUCUCUUAUGGUGCAAACCCUCGACACGAUUCUCGGUGUCCUGACGGAAACUGGUGCCACCCUCAGCUUGGAUUUUGAACAAGGCCUUACUCUUACAGGGAGACAGCUCGUUGGUGAUGGCAAGUUGAUCCGUUUACUGGGCUUGUGCCAUGAACAAAAUUCAAAGUCCUGUAUAUCUUUUAUCCUAGAUUUUUAAAUACUCCUUUUCCUGAAAAUUAAAGGGUUUAAAAAUGGCUGCUAUUUUAUAUUGAACAAUGUUGAGCAGCUACCUGCAGUUUUUACUUCCAUUUUGCUUUCCCCCCCCCGACUUCCCUAAAUUCUGCUCCUUUUGAUGUUUCCUCAUCUGCUGUCCUGACAACUCAUCGCCAGCCUUCCUGCCCGGCACACAGGUAUUAGGCACACACACCGUGGCGAGCGAGCGGGCACAGGCUGUGCAGCGGAGAGCGCCUCACUGACCGUUGGCUAGCACGUGUUAGCAGAAGCCAAAAAAGUGGGGUGAUGUUUGCUCUCCUCUCUGUGGUCUCAACACUCGGCUCUUACUCAGAAAAGAGUAGGCUUGCUUUCUGAGAUGUACGGAAUUGACUUACAGGCACGUUCUUCAUAAGGUCAGACCUGACUAAAACAAGACAGUCUCCCAACACUGAAUGUCCAAGAUAACCCUUACCACUUUGUAAACCAUUUAUAGCUUUGAAAGUAUUAAGUGACCCUUUCAUCAUUAUUUAUGCAUGUUCAUGAACUUCUGCUGUAUACUGGAAUAGGAGUUAACACAUUCACAUUUACUGUCUAUUUUCUUGUGUGCCUUAUGCGAUGGCUUUUCUGACUGUAUCUCAAUAGUCUUUCUUUCUAUGCAGGUUUGUAAUCAGGACAACUACUGUUUUCUAAAGGAAUAUUACACGAGGCUCGGAGUUUGUAUUUAAAUUACACUGACCAAGUCACAAUGUAUUCCGUUUUCAGGAACUGAAUAUCUGACUGUUAAUCUUCCCCCAUAUGCCCAGUGUGAUCUGGAGCGUAUGGGUCUGACAUCCUUCACCCAGAUGCUCAUGUGUGAACACAUCCACAUCCACGGCUCUCAGUGGAAGCCAGCCUAGAGCAGGGAGGACACUGACAGUGUUGCUUUAAACUGACUUUUCUUACCCUUUGAGACUCAUGUGUUUUGUAUAAGACACCAUCACAGGAAAGUUUUCUCCCUUCAGAUAACAUAUUUUAUUAUUAAAAAGAAAAACAAAAAAAGCUUAAGUUGCACUGGACAUGGGAAGUUCCCUCAGGACUCUAAGUGGUUCUAUACUGAGAGUGAGUGUCACCGCUGUGUCAACACAGGUGGUCCCAGUCAAAACUCCAUCCUUUGAGCCCUAAUUACAUCCAUUGUGUUACAAAACUAAAUCAGGGGUUUGUUCUAAAAGAACAAUACAUGUUUCACCAUUUCCUUUCAACUGUAAAGACGACUAAUGUAUUAACAUAAUUUCUGUAUUAACCAUCAUGCGCACAAGAAAUACAUAGUAAAUACGGAACCUGAAAACUCCUGGCAUUGGAUCAUAAAAAGCUAGAUGAUUAGAAUGUGAAAAGAACUUUACAAAUGUAAAACUUUUAUUUCUCUGUAGAAACUUUCUUCACUUUGCUGUGCAAGAAGACACUGCUUUGCUAUAUUUAAAAUGGCUUUUUUAAAAGAGAUUUAUGUAUUUGGUAAAUGUUUGUAGUCAACAGUUCACACAAAGAAGCUGUACUCGGUUUGAUCAUGUAAAACCGUUUGGCGGCACAAGCUGGACUUUGUUGCCAUCCUUGAGAUGAACCUUUUAAGAAAAAUAAGUUAAUCUCAAUUUUUCCCUGAAUGUGUUGUUUUUUCUUCAUUAUACAAUAAAUAUUAUAGUGAAGUUUUUAUCAAAUGGUUAAG
rnacentral:lncRNA from 1 species